CUGUAAUUCAGUUGACCAUGCUGUCUUCCACAUGGGGUUCAGUAUACAACAGCUGCAAAUAGCAGCCUCCCUGGUAGUAGUUUGUUUGUAGCCUAUUGCUUGUAUGGUUGCCUUAAGGGCCCUUACAGGCAGCC
rfam:Erinaceus europaeus unplaced genomic scaffold scaffold00028, whole genome shotgun sequence